AAAAAAAGUUAAACUUACUUCUUGGGUUAAUACGAUUUGUAAACCCCCCCCAACGGAUGAUAGAACUUCCAUUCAAUACUCCAAAGUAACUGUACACAUAACGGACAUAUUUGCUCAAAAUAAUGUUCAAAAUAUUCUGAAUUCUGUAGAAGUGUUCAUCUUUCUCCAACCACGAAGAGUCAGUUUAUAGCAGACACAUGGAAGAGAAGCCUUGACCCUACAAACCCCCCCCCCAUUUUCAAUAUCACCAUGUUUUAGUACAUUGUUAUGCUAGGAUUCUGUUUCAUUGUUGAACAUUUAAGGUAAACAUAAUUGAAAUACCAUAGUUUGUACUGCUUAUGUAUUCUCAUACGUGGGUUUCAGUACCUGCCCGGUAUGGUUUUGUCAAAAAGAUGUAUAUAUUUAAAUUGUGUAAGUUACCAUUAGACAAUAGUCAAGCUGCAGGUUUCUUUUUUAGGCUGCGGUAAUUUUGUCCUGUCCAUCGCAUCACUGUUACAUCAUAAUUCCAUAGAUGUAUUUCAGACAAAAAUAGUAUCUUCUGGUAUGUUAAAGGCAGCCUGCACUUAGAUGUACAUCAAGGCACUGCCCACAAAUCUCAGUUAUGCCACAGUAUUCCCACCAUUCUUUAAAAAAUAUAUUAGUCUGUUAGAUAAAGAAUUCCAAGUAAUAUAAGCAACAAAGAACUCAGCUAAGAUGAAAAUAAAACUAACUUAGUGCACCUUGUAUGUUUAACUCCUUGUAAAGCUAGACUUGACUGCAAC